UGGGGAAUAUUGCACAAUGGGCGAAAGCCUGAUGCAGCAACGCCGCGUGAGUGAUGAAGGUCUUCGGAUUGUAAAGCUCUGUCUUUUGGGACGAUAAUGACGGUACCAAAGGAGGAAGCCACGGCUAACUACGUGCCAGCAGCCGCGGUAAUACGUAGGUGGCGAGCGUUGUCCGGAUUUACUGGGCGUAAAGGGUGUGUAGGCGGAUGUUUAAGUGAGAUGUGAAAUACCCGGGCUUAACUUGGGUGCUGCAUUUCAAACUGGAUAUCUAGAGUGCAGGAGAGGAGAAUGGAAUUCCUAGUGUAGCGGUGAAAUGCGUAGAGAUUAGGAAGAACACCAGUGGCGAAGGCGAUUCUCUGGACUGUAACUGACGCUGAGGCACGAAAGCGUGGGUAGCAAACAGGAUUAGAUACCCUGGUAGUCCACGCCGUAAACGAUGAGUACUAGGUGUAGGAGGUAUCGACCCCUUCUGUGCCGCAGUAAACACAUUAAGUACUCCGCCUGGGAAGUACGAUCGCAAGAUUAAAAC
rnacentral:rRNA from 1 species